rnacentral:misc_RNA from 1 species
CUGUUCGAGCGUCAUUUUGACCACUCCCGCUUGCGGGGUCUUGGGCUUCGCCUCUGGGCGGGCCUUAAAAUCAGUGGCGGUGCGUCCGGCUCUAAGCGUAGUAAAUCUCCUCGCUAUAGGGUCCCGGAGGGAUGCUGGCCAACAACCCCCAACUUCUUAAGGUUGACCUCGGAUCAGGUAGGGAUACCCGCUGAACUUAA